UACUGUUAAAAAUUUACUGAAAAGAUAAAUUGUAAAUAAUGUAAAUGUACCUUUUGCAUAAUGGUUAAAUAAUAAAAGUUUAAGUUUAUAUACCCCGAAGUUAGAAGAUCUAAUUUUAUUAAAUCUAUUAGGAAAAUAAUGUUGCAAAAUUAUAAAUAAUUAAAAUUAGGAGUGAAAGGCUUGGCAAUUCUAAAGAUAUCUGGAAUAAUUUUAAAUGUAUUUAGUACAGGACAAAUUUGAGUAGAAAAAUGUUAAGAUUUUUUUAAUAAGAAUAUUAAUAUAUUAAAUUGUUUAAAAUCCUUAUUUAAAUGAUAUUUAAAAUUAAUUAUUUUUUCAUCUAUAAUAAAAUUAUACCUAAAUUUACUAAAGUUUAAUUAUGUUUAAAUUAGUAUUAAAAUUUUUUUAAAAUAAGGAACUCGGCUAAUUAUUCGUCUGUUUAUCAAACAUUGAGUAAAUUUAACGGCCGCAGUACUUUGACUGUGCUAAGGUAGCAUAAUAAAUUGACCUUUAAUUGGGGCCUUGAAUGAAAGGAUCGAUAAUCUCUGUCUCUAUUAAUUAAUUAAAAUUUACUUAGAAGGUGAAAAUUCCUUUAAGAUUUAAAAAAGACGAGAAGACCCUAGGAGUUUAUAAUUUUGUUGGGGCGACAAUGUAACAUAACUUGCAUUAUUUAAAAUUUAACAAUAAUUUUAAUAAAAAAUAAACUACCCUAGGGAUAACAGCAUAAUUUAUUAAGUUUGUGACCUCGAUGUUGGA
rnacentral:rRNA from 1 species